rnacentral:rRNA from 1 species
GACGAACGCUGGCGGCGUGCUUAACACAUGCAAGUCGAACGGAAAGGCCCUUCUUUUGUGUGGUGCUCGAGUGGCGAACGUAUGAGUAACACGAGAGUAACCUGCCCUUGACUUUGGGAUAACUACAGGAGACUGGGGCUAAUACCGGAUAGGAGCUCCUGCUGCAGGGUGGGGGUUGGAUAGUUUCGGCGGUUGGGGAUGGACUCGCGGCUUAUCAGCUUGUUGGUGGGGUAGUGGCUUACCAAGGCUUUGACGGGUAGCCGGCCUGAGAGGGUGACCGGCCACACUGGGACUGAGAUACGGCCCAGACUCCUACGGGAGGCAGCAGUGGGGAAUAUUGCACAAUGGGCGGAAGCCUGAUGCAGCAACGCCGCGUGCGGGAUGACGGCCUUCGGGUUGUAAACCGCUUUCGCCUGUGACGAAGCGUGAGUGACGGUAAUGAGUAAAGAAGCACCGGCUAACUACGUG